AUGGAGGUCGAUCUUUCCCAACAACCAGACCGGUUGAUUUGGAAGCUCACACAGAAUGGAGAGUUUUCGGUUAAGUCCAUGUAUUUGGAUGUUAUCAACUCUAGUGUGAUUCCUCGUUCGAAACAUGUGUGGAAAGUCAAAGUGCCUCUAAAAAUCAAAGUGUUUAUGUGGUUUGUACAUAAACAAGUCAUUCUAACUAAGGAUAAUCUGGUGAAACGCAAUUGGACAGGAUCUACAAGAUGUAGUUUCUGCGAUAAGGAUGAGUCCAUCAAACACCUCUUUCUCGAUUGUCCCUUGGCAAAAAAUUUAUGGCGGACGGUGCACUUAGCUUUUAAUAUUACUCCUCCGAAUACCAUUAACACGUUAUUUGGGACGUGGUUAGAUGGGUUAGGCUCCGAGACUGCGAGACAUAUACGUUUUGGAGUAUGUGCUUUAUUAUGGGCUGUUUGGAACUGCAGAAACGAUUUGGUUUUUAACAGAACAACAAAUGUUCAUAUCUUGCAGGUUAUCUUCCGGGCCACUAUACUGAUCCGUAUGUGGUCGCUACUCACUCCGACGGAGGCCAGGGAGCGUUUGGUUACUGGAUCUGUCCGUUGGAAGAUGGUAGCUUGGGAUAUCUUCAACCGGUUUGGAUGGCGGUCAUGUAAUAGGAUAGGUUUUUAG
rnacentral:rRNA from 1 species